UACGUAGGGUGCGAGCGUUGUCCGGAAUUAUUGGGCGUAAAGAGCUUGUAGGCGGUUUGUCGCGUCUGCCGUGAAAAUCCGGGGCUCAACCCCGAGCCUGCUUUCGAUACGGGCGGACUAGAGGUAGGUAGGGGAGAACGGAAUUCCUGGUGUAGCGGUGGAAUGCGCAGAUAUCAGGAGGAACACCGGUGGCGAAGGCGGCAUCCUGGACCAAUAUUGACGCUGAGGAGCGAAAGCUAGGGGAGCAAACGGG
rnacentral:rRNA from 1 species